CAAUAGCGUAUAUUUAAGUUGUUGCAGUUAAAAAGCUCGUAGUUGGAUUUCGGGUGGGACGCAGCGGUCUCGCAUUGCGUUCGUACUGCUGCAGCCCUCCUUCUUGCCGGGGGCGGCCUCUCGGACUUCACUGUCUGGGGGUCAGAAUCGGCGAUGUUACUUUGAGUAAAUUAGAGUGUUCAAAGCAAGCUUACGCUCUGAAUAUAAUAGCAUGGGAUAACACGACAGGACUCUGGCCUAUCGUGUUGGUCUAUAGGACCAGAGUAAUGAUUAAGAGGGACAGUCGGGGGCAUUCGUAUUCCGUUGUCAGAGGUGAAAUUCUUGGAUUUACGGAAGACGAACAUCUGCGAAAGCAUUUGCCAAGGAUGUUUUCAUUGA
rnacentral:rRNA from 1 species